rnacentral:rRNA from 1 species
UGCCAGCAGCCGCGGUAAUACGUAAGGUGCGGGCGUUGUUCGGAAUUAUUGGGCGUAAAGGGUGCGUAGGCGGCGCUAUAAGUCAGAGGUGAAAGGCCACAGCUUAACUGUGGGACUGCCUUUGAUACUGUAGUGCUUGAAUUAGGCUGAGGUCGGCGGAAUGUGACAUGUAGCGGUGAAAUGCUUAGAUAUGUCAUAGAACACCAAUUGCGAAGGCAGCUGACUAGACCUUAAUUGACGCUGAGGCACGAAAGCGUGGGGAGCGAACAGGAUUAGAUA